CCAGCAAAUCAGUUCCACAACAAAUUCAAAGAGGGCCUUUUACAGGAGCACAAGAACUGCUCACCUGGGCAGGGGAAUGAGUGGAAAGAGUCUAUAACAUCUGCAGGACAACCUGGCUGCCUUCAGGAGCCAGAGCACUUCUGCUACAGAUGCGAUCACAUGGCCUCUUACAUGCAAGUGCUUGUUUCAUGCCAAUUAACACAUACCUCACUAUUUAAACUGUGCCUAGUUAAUACAUAUACAGUCAGACACUGCAGAAUGAGCAUGUGGGGUUUGUGCCUCAAUCUCUCCGCUGCUUCUUGUGAUUUCCUUUUGGCCCUGUAUCCUUCCUGCAGUAUCUGCAGCUGGAAGGCUCCUCUGCUUGGAAGCAGCACUUCCCCAACAACUGCUGAAGGACUUAGGCUUUGCAAAUGCAGGUGGCAAAUGCACAGGUUUCUGGAUGCAGAAAAGCACAAGCAUAUUUGCAGAUGGUCACCAAUCUGCAAAGGAAGGAAAAUUGCAGAAGAAUUCACAUGAUGUUAUAAACGUAUUUCAUAUAUUCAUGAAAAACAACAAUAAAAUAAAAGAAACAAAAU